UACAGAGGGUGCAAGCGUUGUUCGGAAUUACUGGGCGUAAAGCGUGCGUAGUCGGUAUUGAGAGUCGCGGGUGAAAUCCCAGGGCUUAACCCUGGAACUGCCUGCGAGACCUCAGUACUAGAGUGUGAGAGGGGAUAGUGGAAUACCCAGUGUAGCGGUGAAAUGCGUAGAGAUGUGGAGGAACACCAGUGGCGAAGGCGGCUUUCUGGUCUGUAACUGACGCUGAGGCGCGAAAGCGUGGGGAGCAAACAGG
rnacentral:rRNA from 1 species